rnacentral:rRNA from 1 species
UGCGCAGGCGGUUAUAUAAGACAGAUGUGAAAUCCCCGGGCUCAACCUGGGAACUGCAUCUGAUACUGGCAAGCUUGAGUCUCGUAGAGGGGGUAGAAUUCCAGGUGUAGCGGUGAAAUGCGUAGAGAUCUGGAGGAAUACCGGUGGCGAAGGCGGCCCCUGGACGAAGACUGACGCUCAGGUGCGAAAGCGUGGGGAGCAAACA